GCAGACAGCUGCCAAGAAAGUCAUUGUGAUCCUGGGUCUGAUGGCUUCUCUGAGGCAAUCUCAACUUCCCAAUGUCUAACAGUCAUUCCUUUGCAUUCCCCAAGUCUCAUUUCUCCAGCUUUUAAAGACAUUCCUGUACCACUACCUUCCUGGCUAUUAUCAUAAUCUAAACUAACUUAGAAGAGUAUGUUGAGUGACCAUUCAAAGGGAAAAAAAAAAAAAGCAAAAACCACAAGGCAGGAGGUGGAAGAAGCCACAGCUGAAGAGAGAAGGAGAGUGUCUCAGAUGGAGAAGAGAUGGUAGUGGUGUGGGUAUGUGUUGUGUGGAGGACUGAUGGAUCUGGAGGUAUGGAAGGGCCAUGCCUCAGAAGGAACAGGUAUGGUGCUCCUAAAACAGUUAGACCCAGAGCAGCAGUCUUAACAAAGACCCCUAUGUAUUAGUUUUUUUUUGUUGCAACAAAUUACCACCAACUUAGAGGCUUCAAACAACAUACAUUUAUUAUCUCACGGGUUCUGUGCAUCAGAAGUCCAGGCACAGUUUAGUUGCGUCAUCUGCUUCAGGAUCUUACAUAAAAGGCUACAGUGAAGGUGUCAGCCAAGGCUGGGGUCUAAUCUGAAGGCUCGAUUGGUAAGGGAUCCAUUUCCAAACUCAAGUGGUUAUUGGUAGGAUUCAGUUCUUUGUGGGCUAUUGGACUGAGGACCUCAGUUCUUUGUUGGCUAUUGCCUGGAGACUGACUUUGGUUUCUUGCUAUAUGGGCCUCCCCAACAUGGCUGCUUCAUCAAAGCUUGCAAGCUGCAAAGGCAAUAAAGUCAGCUAGGAAAAUGGAGGUACAUCUUUAAUAAUCUAAUCAUAGAAGUGGCAGCCUAUCAACAGUCUAUUAACUUGAAGGAAGUCAUUCAAGAAAAAGGGAUUACACAAGGGCAUGAGUACCAGGAGACAGGAAUCAUUUGAGGCCAUUUUAGAAGCCACCUACCACACCCUGUGAUGCACACUGUCAGUAAUAUGGAGUUACAUAUAUAGGCCAUAAAGACUUGGGCAAAGAGUUUCUCAGCAUCAGUCAUGAUGCUUUCCUACUGAUGAGAGACUGCCAAUCCCACCCAUUCAUAUUUUCUUUCUUCCUUUUGGUAAUAGUAAUCCCCAAGUUUUUGGGAGGUACAUGAUUGUCCAUCUAGAGAUGACAUAUCCCAGCCUCACUUGCAACUAGUUGUGGCCAUAUGACUAAGUUCCCACCAAUGGCAUGUGAGCCUAAGUGAUGUAUGUCACUUCUAGGUCACAUCCUUAAAAGAAAGUUGCAUGCUCUCCCUUUCUUCUUUCCUCUUUCUUGAGGCUGGAAUGCGGACAUAAUGUUGGGCAUUUAACUCAAUCAUGUGGAUAGGACAACACCCGAGAGGAUGGCAAAGCAACAAAACAGAAGGCAUAAGGGUCCUCAGACCAUCACAAGAAGCAGAGCAGCCCACCUUUCCUGGGCUGCCUACCAGCUGGACUUUUAUUUGAAAGACAGACCAUCUUGUUUAAGCCAUGGUUACUUGGUACCUGUUACAGCAACUAAACAAAUAUCCUAAAUGAUAGAUCACAAAAUGCUUCUAAGGCAGUUAUUAACGGUGUUCCUGGUGAGUCUUCUUGGGACAGCUGUGAAUUACAUCCUUUUAAAAGAGUACCUGAGAAAGCAAGCCCAGGUGAUAUCACCAUUUAAGCCCCUCUUAGGCUGUGUUUGCUGAUGUCCUCAAAAUGCGUUCUCACUAGCUUAAGGGUGUCUUCUUAGGAUGCUGCUAUGGAAAACUCCAUCACUGUUUUCCAGCUUUGCCCAUACUCAGGUACCAAGAGGAUUUCACUCAUGUGAUUCUUCAUUUAUUUCACUAUUUUAGGGGCUCUUCUCAUGUGGCAGUCACUGUGUCAGGCGCCAGGGAAACAGCAGACAGCAGAACAGACACGAGCUUUACACUCUCAGGAAGCUGAUAUUCCAGUAAGGCAGGAAAGACCCAAUAAACAAGAUAAUUUCAGGGAAUUAUACAACAAAACAGCAACCUGAAAUUUGUCUUCAUGUCCUCUAUAAAUUACACAGGCAAACUGAGUCUAUCACGUUGCUGAAUAUCUUAUGGUCUCUGUGAUAGCUAGCCUCAGAGAUGGCCCCCAAUAGUCCUUGUCUCUUAACUGCCUCAGCCUGAAGGAGACGCAUUACUUCCACACACAUUCCAUUGGUGAGAAUUAGUCCCACAAACACACCUAGAAGCACAGAGAUUGGGAAACAUAGAGA
rnacentral:lncRNA from 1 species